rnacentral:misc_RNA from 1 species
AAGCUAUAAAAAAAAAAAUUCAUAUUAUUAUUAAUGCUAUCAAAUAUAUAUUUCUAUAUAAGUAGUAACUAAAAGUCAUUUAUCAAUUUAUCACAUGUACAAUUAUACUAUUUCAUCAUGAUAAAGUUCAUUAUUGAAAAAGUUAUAGUAAAAUUUUAAAAGUAAAUUUUUGAAUGCAAAACAUGAUUUUUGUCUCAAUUAAUUAUAUGCGCGCGCGCACGUCCGC